rnacentral:rRNA from 1 species
UUUGCCCUCCCUCUAGCCCAACUAACUUACCCCCAUAAGCCAAAAAUUAACUCUCCCCACCCAACCAAAACAUUCUAAUCCACCCCAGUAUAGGCGAUAGAAAAGACUUUAUGGCGCGAUAGAGGCUCACAGUACCGUAAGGGAAAGAUGAAAUAACAGUGAAAACAUAAGCAAAAGACAGUAAAGACUAGCCCUUGUACCUCUUGCAUCAUGAUUUAGCCAGAACAACCAAGCAAAGCGAACUAAAGUUUGCCCCCCCGAAACCCAAGCGAGCUACUUACGAACAGCUAAAAUUGAGCGAACCCGUCUCUGUCGCAAAAGAGUGGGAUGAUUCGUCAGUAGAGGUGAAAAGCCCAUCGAGCUGGGUGAUAGCUGGUUACCUGCCAAAUGAAUAUAAGUUCUCCCUUAACCCAUUUCCCAAGGACACCACGCCCAACCACUCACAUUAGGGCUAAGAGCAAGUCGACGGAGGUACAGCUCCCUCGAAAAAGAACACAACCUCCUCCAGCGGAUAAUACCCCCCCCCUCCUGCCCCGUGGGCCCUCAAGCAGCCAUCAACAAAGAGUGCGUCAAAGCUCUCCUACUAAAAAAUCUAAAAACCUGUAUGACUCCCUCACCCAAAGCAGGUCAACCUAUGACAAUAGAAGAAUUAAUGCUAGAAUGAGUAACUUGGAGCCUUCCUCCACACAGCGCAAACUUACAUUAACACAUUAUUAACAGAGCCCAACUUAUAUCCCCACUCCAACAAGAAUCUAUAUUUCCACCCACCUGUUAAACCGACCCAGGAGCGCCCACAAGACGAUUAAAAUCUGCAAAAGGAACUCGGCAAACUAAAGACCCGACUGUUUCCCAAAAACAUAGCCUUCAGCUAUCAACAAGUAUUGAAGGUGAUGCCUGCCCAGUGACAACCAACGUUCAACGGCCGCGGUAUCCUAACCGUGCGAAGGUAGCGCAAUCAAUUGUCCCAUAAAUUGAGACUUGUAUGAAUGGCUAAACGAGGUCUUAACUGUCUCCUGCAGAUAAUCAGUGAAAUUAGUAUUCUCGUGCAAAAACGAGAAUGUGACCAUAAGACGAGAAGACCCUGUGGAACUUCAAAAUACCAAUCACCUUUACACCAGCACAUACCCACUGGGCCCACCCAUGCAAAGCCCUUGAUUGACAUUUUUCGGUUGGGGCGACCUUGGAGAAAAACAAAUCCUCCAAACCUAAAGAUCAAAACUCUUCACCAAGAACCACCCCUCAAAGUACGAAUAGUAACCCAGACCCAAUACAAUUGACCAAUGGACCAAGCUACCCCAGGGAUAACAGCGCAAUCUCCUCCAAGAGCCCUUAUCGACAAGGAGGUUUACGACCUCGAUGUUGGAUCAGGACAACCUAAUGGUGCAGCCGCUAUUAAGGGUUCGUUUGUUCAACGAUUAACAGUCCUACGUGAUCUGAGUUCAGACCGGAGCAAUCCAGGUCGGUUUCUAUCUAUGAGUGUACUCCUCCCAGUACGAAAGGACCGGAGAAGUGGGGUCAAUACCACAAGCACACCCCAAUCUUCCAAGCAGUGAAUUCAACUAAACUGCCAAAAACCCAACACCCACAUCCAUAUUCCUAGAAAAGGACCA